rnacentral:rRNA from 1 species
ACUCCUACGGGAGGCAGCAGUAGGGAAUCUUCCACAAUGGGCGCAAGCCUGAUGGAGCAACACCGCGUGAGUGAAGAAGGGUUUCGGCUCGUAAAGCUCUGUUGUUAAAGAAGAACACGUAUGAGAGUAACUGUUCAUACGUUGACGGUAUUUAACCAGAAAGUCACGGCUAACUACGUGCCAGCAGCCGCGGUAAUACGUAGGUGGCAAGCGUUAUCCGGAUUUAUUGGGCGUAAAGAGAGUGCAGGCGGUUUUCUAAGUCUGAUGUGAAAGCCUUCGGCUUAACCGGAGAAGUGCAUCGGAAACUGGAUAACUUGAGUGCAGAAGAGGUAGUGGAACUCCAUGUGUAGCGGUGGAAUGCGUAGAUAUAUGGAAGAACACCAGUGGCGAAGGCGGCUACCUGGUCUGCAACGUGACGCUGAGACUCGAAAGCGAUGGGUAGCGAACAGGAUUAGAUACCCCUGGUAGGAUAGCG